rnacentral:rRNA from 1 species
UACAGAGGGUGCGAGCGUUGUCCGGAAUCACUGGGCGUAAAGGGCGCGUAGGUGGCGACCCAAGUCUGUGGUGAAAGCUCGAUGCUUAACAUCGAGUCGGCCGCGGAAACUGGGUGGCUCGAGCACUGUAGGGGCAGAUGGAAUUCCGGGUGUAGCGGUGGAAUGCGUAGAGAUCCGGAAGAACACCGGUGGCGAAGGCGGUCUGCUGGGCAGUUGCUGACACUGAGGCGCGACAGCGUGGGGAGCAAACAGG